rnacentral:rRNA from 1 species
GACGAACGCUGGCGGCGUGCUUAACACAUGCAAGUCGAACGGAAAGGCCCUGCUUUUGUGGGGUGCUCGAGUGGCGAACGGGUGAGUAACACGUGAGUAACCUGCCCUUGACUUUGGGAUAACUUCAGGAAACUGGGGCUAAUACCGGAUAGGAGCUCCUGCUGCAUGGUGGGGGUUGGAAAGUUUCGGCGGUUGGGGAUGGACUCGCGGCUUAUCAGCUUGUUGGUGGGGUAGUGGCUUACCAAGGCUUUGACGGGUAGCCGGCCUGAGAGGGUGACCGGCGACAUUGGGCCUGAGAUACGGCCCAGACUCCUACGGGAGGCAGCAGUGGGGAAUCUUGCACAAUGGGCGGAAGCCUGAUGCAGAAACGCCGCGUGCGGGAUGACGGCCUUCGGGUUGUAAACCGCUUUCGCCUGUGACGAAGCGUGAGUGACGGUAAUGGGUAAAGAAGCACCGGCUAACUACGUG